ACAGCAGUCGCCGCGGUAAUACGUAGGUGGCAAGCGUUGUCCGGAAUUAUUGGGCGUAAAGGGCUCGCAGGCGGUUUCUUAAGUUUGAUGUGAAAGCCCCCGGCUCAACCGGGGAAGGUCAUUGGAAACUGGGAAACUUGAGUGCAGAAGAGGAGAGUGGAAUUCCACGUGUAGCGGUGAAAUGCGUAGAGAUGUGGAGGAACACCAGUGGCGAAGGCGACUCUCUGGUCUGUAACUGACGCUGAGGAGCGAAAGCGUGGGGAGCGAACAGGAUUAGAUACCCCCGUAGUCCCUGUCUCUUAUAC
rnacentral:rRNA from 1 species